UGGGGAAUAUUGGACAAUGGGCGAAAGCCUGAUCCAGCCAUGCCGCGUGUGUGAAGAAGGUCUUCGGAUUGUAAAGCACUUUAAAUUGGGAGGAAGGGCAUUAACCUAAUACGUUAGUGUUUUGACGUUACCGACAGAAUAAGCACCGGCUAACUCUGUGCCAGCAGCCGCGGUAAUACAGAGGGUGCAAGCGUUAAUCGGAAUUACUGGGCGUAAAGCGCGCGUAGGUGGUUUGUUAAGUUGGAUGUGAAAUCCCCGGGCUCAACCUGGGAACUGCAUUCAAAACUGACUGACUAGAGUAUGGUAGAGGGUGGUGGAAUUUCCUGUGUAGCGGUGAAAUGCGUAGAUAUAGGAAGGAACACCAGUGGCGAAGGCGACCACCUGGACUAAUACUGACACUGAGGUGCGAAAGCGUGGGGAGCAAACA
rnacentral:rRNA from 1 species